rnacentral:rRNA from 1 species
GAUCAUGGCUCAGGAUGAACGCUGGCGGCGUGCUUAACACAUGCAAGUCGAGCGAAGCACUUUAAUCGAUUUCUUCGGAUUGAAAUUUUAGUGACUGAGUGGCGGACGGGUGAGUAACGCGUGGGUAACCUGCCUCACACAGGGGGAUAACAGUUGGAAACGGCUGCUAAUACCGCAUAAGCGCACAGUACCGCAUGGUACAGUGUGAAAAACUCCGGUGGUGUGAGAUGGACCCGCGU